rnacentral:tRNA from 1 species
GGAGAGGUGGCCGAGUGGCCGAAGGCGCGUCCCUGCUAAGGACGUAUACACGAAAGUGUAUCGAGGGUUCGAAUCCCUCCCUCUCCG